AUGCGCCUUGAUACUGAAGCCAUUGCUGGACUGCCAUGCUUAGAAGAAGCACUUGACUGCUUUCGUGAUGCAGGUCUGCUCAGCUUUGUGACAGACAAAGAACAUUGGAAUGAAGAACUAUUGCUUCAAUUCUAUGCUACACUCCACAUUCGCGGCUACAACAGGGAUACAAAGACAUGGGUUCUUGAGUGGAUGACAGGAAAUGUUCAUCAUGAAGCCAAAGCUCUUGACAUCAUUGAGCUUACAUGGUUAUCCACUCCCGGAGAGCUGUACGAACCUGGUUGUCAACACCACCGCAAUGUACUGGAGAGCAUCUUUCAUAAGCCAGAACCCAACAUGAGCCAGAUGUUGAGCAUGAUGAAGCCUUUGCCACAUGACGCUGAAUACCCAAAGGAGUUCUUUGUUGAUGACCUUGAGUAUCUGCCGCGCACCAUAUAUCACAUCACCAGGCGGACUCUAUGGCCUAUCAAAGGACAUUCAUAA
rnacentral:rRNA from 1 species